UUUACGGGAGGCAGCAGUCGGGAAUAUUGCACAAUGGGGGAAACCCUGAUGCAGCGACGCCGCGUAAAGGAAGAAGGUCUUCGGAUUGUAAACUUUUGUCGACAGGGAAGAAUAAAAUGACAGUACCUGUGGAGGAAGCCCCGGCUAACUACGUGCCAGCAGCCGCGGUAAUA
rnacentral:rRNA from 1 species